rnacentral:lncRNA from 1 species
UCAUCCAAGCCAUCACCGUCCAGCAAGCCUAUGAUGAGAUUAGUCACGAACGGUGAAGAGCAUUGUUGUCGUUUCUAUAUAGGGGGUACCCUGACGGCAUAUGCCAGGGGAUGGCUAAUCGAGGUGAGGGAAAGGCUGUCGUGGAGGACUCGGGACGGGAUAGGGUAAUAGUAUGCGGUGGUUUACCCAGGUUUGGGGCUCUCCGGAGAGAUAAUACCCUACUCCUGCAUUUGUGUACAUGAUGUAUCUUGGUAGUACAAGGUUGCUCCUAGAGCUGUAUUAGAGGAGGAAGAGAGCUGAGUGCCUCCUUCCUGGCCUCAUGUCUGAGUGUGUGUAUGUGGGGGAGUGAGAGCCU